rnacentral:rRNA from 1 species
GAAUACCAAGGCGCUUGAGAGAACUCGGGUGAAGGAACUAGGCAAAAUGGUGCCGUAACUUCGGGAGAAGGCACGCUGACAUGUAGGUGAAGUGAUUUACUCAUGGAGCUGAAGUCAGUCGAAGAUACCAGCUGGCUGCAACUGUUUAUUAAAAACACAGCACUGUGCAAACACGAAAGUGGACGUAUACGGUGUGACGCCUGCCCG